CAAAGGCAAAAGGCUGCUCGUGUGAGGGUCCAUAGGGUGAAAGGCACAAAUCAAAGGGGCCAUAAGGCAACUAAAACCCUCGGGGUCAGUGGAAAAGGGGCCCGUAGCUGCCACAGUCCUGCGUCAUCAAGGAUAUUGGCAAUGGAGGAUGUUGACACCAGUCCAUGCCCUCAGUCCAUGGGUGAUGUCAGCACUGCAGUAAAUUGUGCCUAUGCGACCUUGAUGCAUGACCAGCAAUUGCCACAUGUGCACGCACCUGGAUUCGAAAUUACCAGCAUAUUGAGGGAGAGUCCUGAUGUUGCCACUCUGAUAGAAUUUGUUCAACUGGAGCUCCCAAAAUGGGAUUUUUUGUUUAAAUUAAAUUUAAUAAAUGCUCACUAUGUAGACUCAGCAACAGUUAUUAAAUAAGCUUAGAAUUAUUUCUUUUUUGACACUUGCUGCUUUGAGUGAAAUUGUCUCUUUUAUUUAUUA